rnacentral:ncRNA from 1 species
CCCGCUGAACUUAAGCAUAUCAUUUAGCGGAGGAAAAGAAACUAACAAGGAUUCCCUCAGUAACGGCGAGUGAACGGGGA